AGGGAAUCUUGCGCAAUGGGCGAAAGCCUGACGCAGCCAUGCCGCGUGUAUGAUGAAGGUCUUAGGAUUGUAAAAUACUUUCACCGGGGAAGAUAAUGACGGUACCCGGAGAAGCAGCCCCGGCUAACUUCGUGCCAGCAGCCGCGGUAAUACGAAGGGGGCUAGCGUUGCGCGGAAUUACUGGGCGUAAAGGGCGCGUAGGCGGAUGUCUAAGUUGGGGGUGAAAUCCCGGGGCUCAACCUCGGAACCGCCUUCAAUACUGGAUAUCUUGAGUUCGGGAGAGGUGAGUGGAAUGCCGAGUGUAGAGGUGAAAUUCGUAGAUAUUCGGCGGAACACCAGUGGCGAAGGCGACUCACUGGCCCGAUACUGACGCUGAGGCGCGAAAGCGUGGGGAGCAAAC
rnacentral:rRNA from 1 species